rnacentral:rRNA from 1 species
AAGCGUACACGGUGGAUGCCCUGGCAGUCAGAGGCGAUGAAGGGCGUGCUAAUCUGCGAUAAGCGCCGGUAAGGUGAUAUGAACCGUUAUAACCGGCGAUACCCGAAUGGGGAAACCCAGUGUGACUCGUCACACUAUCAUUAACUGAAUCCAUAGGUUAAUGAGGCGAACCGGGGGAACUGAAACAUCUAAGUACCCCGAGGAAAAGAAAUCAACCGAGAUUCCCCCAGUAGCGGCGAGCGAACGGGGAGGAGCCCAGAGCCUGAAUCAGCAUGUGUGUUAGUGGAAGCGUCUGGAAAGGCGCGCGAUACAGGGUGACAGCCCCGUACACAAAAGCGCAUGUGCUGUGAGCUCGAUGAGUAGGGCGGGACACGUGGUAUCCUGUCUGAAUAUGGGGGGACCAUCCUCCAAGGCUAAAUACUCCUGACUGACCGAUAGUGAACCAGUACCGUGAGGGAAAGGCGAAAAGAACCCCGGCGAGGGGAGUGAAAAAGAACCUGAAACCGUGUACGUACAAGCAGUGGGAGCACCCUUUGGGUGUGACUG